UUCUUACGGGAGGCAGCAGUGGGGAAUAUUGCACAAUGGGGGAAACCCUGAUGCAGCGACGCCGCGUGAGUGAAGAAGUAUCUCGGUACGUAAAGCUCUAUCAGCAGGGAAGAAAAUGACGGUACCUGACUAAGAAGCCCCGGCUAACUACGUGCCAGCAGCCGCGGUAAUACGUAGGGGGCAAGCGUUAUCCGGAUUUACUGGGUGUAAAGGGAGCGUAGACGGCAAUACAAGUCGGAAGUGAAAUACCCGGGCUCAACCUGGGAACUGCUUUGGAAACUGUAUGGCUGGAGUGCUGGAGGGGG
rnacentral:rRNA from 1 species